rnacentral:lncRNA from 1 species
GAAAGCAGCAAUUUCUGCUUCGACGUACCACGAAGAGAGCGGCUCGAAGUUGCGACUCGAAUUGAAUGACCGAUCCGGGACGUCGAGCAACUAGCUGGAAGUAGAAACGAAGAAGAAGCGAACGAGACAUCCGUGAUCCGUUGGACGAGAACGAUCCGAGCUCUGGAGCCAGGGAAAACCUUAUUAUGCGUUUCCCCGGAACUCCCCGCUUUGCACGGAUCUUGUAAAGUGGCGAGGGUCGCGUCAACCGAAUAACCAGACCAUAAACCACCAGAGGCCAAGGCAGAAGGACGGGUCGAGCGGCAGGCCGACUGCUAGAACCCGUUUACGUCACCCGUAAACCGGCAUCCUGUGGAUUUCGACGAGCAAAUACACUCGUGGCUAUGGUGCCUCGUAAACUCAGUCAAGACGUGAGCUGACGCACCGCUUUCCUGACGUUUCUCCAAAGGUGGAAACAGGCGAGACUACGCUACACACCAGACCACACCGAAUCACACAGCGCCAGGGAAAAUACAGUUUCGCG